UACGGGGGGGGCAAGCGUUGUUCGGAAUUACUGGGCGUAAAGGGCUUGUAGGUGGCCAACUAAGUCAGACGUGAAAUCCCUCGGCUUAACCGGGGAACUGCGUCUGAUACUGGAUGGCUUGAGUGUGGGAGAGGGAUGCGGAAUUCCAGGUGUAGCGGUGAAAUGCGUAGAGAUCAGGAAGAACACCGGUGGCGAAAGCGCUCUGCUGGACCUUAACUGACACUGAGGGACGAAAGCUAGGGGAGCGAAUGGG
rnacentral:rRNA from 1 species